rnacentral:misc_RNA from 1 species
CCGAGUUAGGGUCUCUCAGGCCCGAUCUCCCACCCUAUGUGUACCUACCUUUGUUGCUUUGGCGGGCCCGCUGGGGCGACCCACCGUCGGCUUCGGCUGGCGAGCGUCCGCCAGAGACCAUCCAAACUCUGUUCAUCAGUGUCGUCUGAGUAAAAACACAAUAGUUA